rnacentral:rRNA from 1 species
AACGUGAGGGGCGAACGUUGUCCGGGAUCACUGGGCGUAAAGGGUACGCAGGCGGUGGGGAAAGUCGGGUGUGAAAGCCUCAGGCUUAACCUGAGGGGGACGCUCGAUACUUCUCCACUUGAGGAAGGGAGAGGGAGGUGGAAUUCCCGGUGUAGCGGUGAAAUGCGCAGAUAUCGGGCCGAACACCAGUGGCGAAGGCGGCCUCCUAUCCCUUUCCUGACGCUCAGGUACGAAAGCUAGGGGAGCGAACCGG